rnacentral:rRNA from 1 species
AGUGUAGGUGGCCAUGCAAGUCAGAAGUGAAAAUCCGGGGCUCAACCCCGGAACUGCUUUUGAAACUGUAAGGCUGGAGUGCAGGAGGGGUGAGUGGAAUUCCUAGUGUAGCGGUGAAAUGCGUAGAUAUUAGGAGGAACACCAGUGGCGAAGGCGGCUUACUGGACGGUAACUGACGUUGAGGCUCGAAAGCGUGGGAGCAAACA